GCUCCUGUGGCGCAAUUGGCUAGCGCGUCUGACUGUUAAUCAGGAGGUUGGUGGUUCAAGCCCACCCGGGAGCG